rnacentral:rRNA from 1 species
AUGGAUUUAUCUGGCAAUGACCUGAACGGAUCUAUACCAACAUACCUAGACUUGCCCCAUCUUGUCAAUUUGGACCUCAGUCGCAAUUCUCUCUCGGGCCUAAUCCCAGCAAGCAUUAGCGUUCUUUCUAAGCUCGCGGUCUUAGAUCUAUCCUUCAAUUUUCUCGAUGGACCUAUCCCACCAUCCAUAGGUAAUAAUACUAAACUAACCUCUGUGGAUCUCUCUCAUAAUUUUGUGCCCAAAGGGUCCAUUGGAAGCAUAGGAAAUCUAACGAGUUUAAGUUACUUAGAUCUUUCCAACAAUCGAAUCACAAGUUCCAUUGGAAGCGUAGGAAAUCUAACGAGUUUAAGAUACUUAGAUCUUUCCAACAAUCGAGUCACAAGUUCCAUUGGAAGCAUAGGAAAUCUAACAAGUUUAGAGUUCUUGGAUCUUUCGAACAAUCAAAUAAAUGGUUCUAUCCCUUCGACAUUGUCAAAACUGAUUUCUCUUACAACACUAUCACUUAAGUCCAAUCAGCUUAAUGGCCUAUUACCGCCAGAGUUAGGAUCUCUUGUUCUUCUAACACAUCUGGAUCUAAGUAGAAACCAAUUUCUAGGAAGCAUUCCACCUCAGAUAGGACAUUGCCACCUUUUGUCAUCGUUACUUGUAUCAGACAACUUAUUGACAGGAGAAAUACCACAAGAAUUGGGUUAUCUCACCAACCUAUAUGAGCUGGACUUGAGUAGAAACAAUUUAAGUGGUGCCAUCCCAGUGACAUUUAAUAAGCUUUACCGACUGUUCAGGCUGAAUUUAUCAUAUAACGCUUUGGAUGGCAAAGUUCCAUAUACAUCCAUUCCUGCAUCUUUGACUGUCGUUUCACUUGGCCAUAAUAUCAAUUUAUGCGGCGAUUCACAAUAUUCAGACUAUUCGAAGUAUGACUUAACACCAUGUAAGGCACUGGAGGUUGACAGGGAACAACAAACCAGUAAACGUCCGCAUGUCAUACUACUUCUUGCUUUAGCUCCAUUUUCCUUCAUUUGCCUCUCAAUAGCAACCAUCGUGGUUGUUUGUCAGAGAAGAAAAUCUGUAAGAAACAGUAGCAUAAGCAAAUCUGGAGAUAUAUUUUCCAUAUGGAAUUUCGACGGGAAGAUCGCAUUCGAAGACAUAGUCAGCGCAAUAGAAAAUUUCGAUGAGAAAUACUGCAUUGGUGCUGGAGGCUAUGGAUCAGUCUUCAGAGUUGACCUUCAUGGGGGGACUACCUUUGCUGUGAAGCUCCUCCACUCAAUGGAAGAAUAUAACGAUGAGGGAUCAUUCCACACUGAGAUUGAAGUGUUGACAAAAAUCAGGCAUCGAUGCAUCGUCAAAUUGUAUGGCUUUUGUUCCCACUCCAAGUGCAAAUUACUCGUCUAUGAUCUUAUCGAGAGGGGAAGUUUAUCAUCCAUAUUUCAUGACCAAGAGCUAGUGAAGGAAUUGGAUUGGCCCAAGAGAGUCACUCUUGUGAGGGAUGUAGCUCAAGCUCUCUCUUACUUGCACCAUGAUUGCGAAGAUCCAAUCGUACAUCGCGACAUAAAAAGCAGCAACAUUCUUCUAGACCAUGAUUUUAAAGCUUAUGUUUCGGAUUUUGGCAUGGCGAGGAAACUGAAGCAUGGUUACUCAAGCUGGAGCACUAUCUUUGGAGGGACAUGUGGCUACAUAGCCCCAGAAUUGUCAUCUACUAUGAUGUUGACAGAGAAGUGUGACGUUUUCAGUUUCGGUGUGCUUGCGCUGGAAGUUGUGAUUGGAAAGCACCCAGGUGAUCUACUCCUUCCAUUCUUCUGCCGAACAGAGCAGCCAGGGAAAUUCAAGGAUAUCCUGGAUCAACGCAUCACAGAACCCUCAACCAUUGACGAGGAGAAGGUCAUUUUGGUUGCCUUGGUGGCCUUUGUUUGCCUGCACGUCAAUCCCAAAGCCCGGCCAACAAUGCAGCAGGUAUAUCAGGCCCUCGCAAACAGGAGCCUCCCAGCGCUCAUGCUCAGGCCCCUUCAUGAAAUCAGGCUGCAAGAUUUGCAUGAUUAUUGUGGCUCCAUAAAGAAUAUAUGA